AUUUGUACUGACGAGUCCCGAAUAGGAGGAAAUGCGCGUCCUGGAU
rfam:Schistosoma margrebowiei strain Zambia genome assembly, scaffold: SMRZ_contig0005742